UUGGUAGUUAUAUACAGUCUGUAUAAGUGUGGUUAAUCCAAUGAAGAUUUGUAAGGAGAUGGCAGUUACUGUGAAUUCACAGCAGUUACACAGUGAUUAGUAAUAAACAGAGCCAGUGAGAGUGAGUGGAUUUAAGAAAGUCAGUGACUCAGGUGUGUCACUUGGUUUGUCAUCUGUUUGUGAGACUGGAGGAGACGUAGAAAUCUUUUGUUUUAAAUCUUAGUUAGGAAGAUUCCUGUUUGAAAACAAGCACUUUUUGUGAGAAAUGCAAGAAGUACAUCUGCAGAAAGCACACAGUUACAUUCUGUCCAUCAUGUGGACAAAAUUGAAAAUGUUGAGCAUUGAAAAACUGAGAACGUUGGGCAAGUUCAACAGAAAUGUGUUUGUAAGAACGAAAAACCAAAUUGUUCCUAAAAUAGUUAUGGAAAGUCUAACUGUUGUAUGUCUGUGUUCUACAUGUUUAUCUGAUGGAAAAUAACAUUGCUAUUGUUUUAUUGCAGUUUUUGGAUAAUUCUGAGUGGAUUUACACAGUACGGAUCUAAAUGACCCGCAACAAAAUCAAUGUCAUUUUUUUGUUUUUCAACAUAAUACAAGGGUUAAUUUCCAAAACGUGCAUAUGAUCUUCAAUUUGUAGCAGAUCCACUAUCACACAGCAGCUGGAGCAGUCUCCAAUGGAGGUCAGUCCACUGCUGCCACCUGUGGCCAAGUACCACAGCCUACUACUAGAUUAACUUGUGACACAUCUGCACCUGCUGCUAUGAUCACAUUGAGUAGAGGCUGAGUGGCUGCACUUACCCCUGGUACAUCCAAAUCUACCCACAAACAUGUUGAAAGAUGCAAUGGCAGCAAUGUGGAUUGUCAACACUAAAAACAAUCAGUAAGCAAAGACAACAGGGAUCACUUUUUUUCUGUUUAUUUAGCACCCACAACAUUUGUAGUCGCCUUCUGCACAGGGGAAGUCCACACACACUGUGUGGUACCACUUUCCACAGAAGGUGCAUUCAAUGUGCAAGACUGAAUGAGAUUGUCAGGGUCAUUGUCUGACUGUUUAUUACUAAUCACCUGCUGUACAUUCACAGUAACUGCCAUCUCCUUACAAAUGUUUAUUAGAUUAACCACACUUAUACAGACUGUAUAUAACAACCAACUCUAAAAUGUUUGUUCGCAGAGAAAAGACACAGACAGACUACGCUAACGACAUGUGAUGUUACAACACUAGUGAAAUAUUAGUGUCAUUUCAUUCUUUUCAAAGGUUUAUUUGCAUGACGCACAAACAGACACAAUUGAAAGGUACAAAUGUGUUGUGCAUGAAACGAAUUCAAACGUGCUGCAGAUGUGUGUCACAAGUUGAUCUGGCUGUAGGCUGUGGCACUUGGCCAGAGGUGGCGCUGGUUGACUCGACUCCAUGUUAGUGCACAAAGUAAACUGCUCGCUUUAGUUGUGAAGCAAAAACGCUGAAUUCGGAGAAAUAAACCGUGCGAGGGGAACGAUAACGACGACAAGAGUCUCCCGAUCGUUUACUCUUGGUGUCCUGUGAACAACAUCGGCGUGGUGUUAAUUGUUUGCUGUUUUCGCGAUCGCGUCGCGCGUGAGGAUAUCACCAGCAGCUCCUGAAACGCAAGACUGCCACACAUCUGUUCGACUAACGCCAGUUGAUCUAAACGCCAGUAGAUCUGGAACACAGGUCGUAACCCAGGAUCUUCUGGGCUACGGUGAACAUUUCUUUAACGUUGGGGUAUUUCAAAAGUCCUCUGCCCAUGCCCACAAACUGGCUGCCCUGACCGGGGAAGAGGAGCACGGAGCAGCCGCUGGGGUCUUUUUUGGGUCUCCGCUGAGGCGCCGCGGCUGGCUCGCUGUUCGGGGAGAAGCGGGGGCUUCAGCCGGAGGAGGGUAAUCUCCAGCCGCGGAACCGGGCUUGUUGGUGGACAGCGUCCUGCUCAGAGAGACCAGCGACCUGACCUUCCCUCUGGAAGAUGCUGCCAUCCUGACUGCCACUGAUGCCAACAUGAGCUGUUCCUCAUCCAACGACGUGUCUGCGGAUGAAAUAAGACGCACAGCCCGCCCGGACAAACUGUAAUCACCGAAAGAGUCAA